GUGCUCACUUCGGUAGCACAUAUAAUUGAAACAAUACAGAGAAGAUUAGCAUGGCUCCUGCACAAGGAUGACAUGCAAAUUCAUGAAGCAUUAAAAAAAAUU
rnacentral:snRNA from 1 species